GGAUAAGCCCUUACGGGGAAAGAUUUAUCGCCGAAAGAUCGGCCCGCGUCUGAUUAGCUAGUUGGUAGGGUAAUGGCCUACCAAGGCGACGAUCAGUAGCUGGUCUGAGAGGAUGAUCAGCCACAUUGGGACUGAGACACGGCCCAAACUCCUACGGGAGGCAGCAGUGGGGAAUAUUGGACAAUGGGGGCAACCCUGAUCCAGCCAUGCCGCGUGAGUGAUGAAGGCCCUAGGGUUGUAAAGCUCUUUUGUGCGGGAAGAUAAUGACGGUACCGCAAGAAUAAGCCCCGGCUAACUUCGUGCCAGCAGCCGCGGUAAUACGAAGGGGGCUAGCGUUGCUCGGAAUCACUGGGCGUAAAGGGUGCGUAGGCGGGUCUUUAAGUCAGGGGUGAAAUCCUGGAGCUCAACUCCAGAACUGCCUUUGAUACUGAAGAUCUUGAGUUCGGGAGAGGUGAGUGGAACUGCGAGUGUAGAGGUGA
rnacentral:rRNA from 1 species